GGAGCGGCAGGCACUCGCCUGCGGUGGCCGCGGCUGGGAUUUUAUUGCUGUGCGUGGCUGGCAGAGUUCAUGGAGGAGAGUGUUGAACUUUACUUGCAAGUGGCUGGCAUCUCAAUCAAUCAAUCACUUUCUCUGUGGAGAGGUCAGUCUUUGCUCAGGCUGAAGUUCCAGCAUGGCUCCAAGCCUGCAGGCCUGUCAGCCAGAGCUCAGGAGGUCCAAGCCGAGAAUGUGACGGUGGUGGAGGGUGGCCAGGCUGAGAUCAACUGCAAGCUGCACCAGUACGACGGCUCCAUAGUGGUGAUCCAGAACCCAUCCCGCCAGACGCUCUUCUUCAAUGGCACGCGGGCCCUCAAAGACGAGCGUUUUCAGUUGGUGGAGUUCACCCAGAAGCAGGUCCGCAUUGUCCUCUCCAACGCCCGUCUAGAUGACGAAGGUGGCUAUUUCUGUCAGCUGUAUACAGAAGACACGCACCACCAGAUUGCCAUCCUGACCGUCCUGGUGCCUCCUGAAAACCCACUGGUGGAGGUAAAAGAGCAAGCCGUGGAAGGGGGAGAAAUCGAACUCACCUGCACUGUUCCCAGAUCGCGCCCCGCGGCCACCCUGCGCUGGUACCGGGACCGAAGAGAGCUUAAAGGAAUCAGAAGCACCAAGGAGGAGAACGGGAAGGUGUUCAGCAUCACCAGCGUGGUGCGCUUCCGAGUGGAACGCAAGGACCACAGCGGCAUCGUGACGUGCGAGGCCACGCACCCGGCGCUGCACGGGCAGCGGAAGCAGACGCAGUACGUGCUAGAUGUGCAGUACUCGCCCACCGCAAGGAUCCAUCCACCCCAGGGGGUGAUGCGGGAAGGAGACACUUUGGUCCUGACUUGUGCCGUCAACGGCAACCCACUCCCCACGGAUAUCAAGUGGAGCCGAGCAAACGACUCGUUGCCUGAGCGGGCCCUGAUCGAGGGCGAGGUGCUGACCAUCUCCAGCCUCAGCAUGCUGGACAACGGCACCUACUCCUGCCAGGUGGCCAACAAGCAUGGCCGCUCGUCGGACCAGUACGUGCUGGUGGUUUACGACCCCGGGGCUAUCGUGGAGGCCCAGACUUCGGUGCCCUACGCCAUCGUCGGGGGCAUCCUGGCGCUGCUGGUCUUCCUCGUCAUCUGUGUGCUGAUAGUCAUGGUGUGGUGCUCCAUUCGGCAGAAAGAGGCGCAGCGUGCCAGAAGGUAGGAGCCCUGGAUCGGGGCUUGGCGAUGCCAGUCCUCCCUCGGAACUGAUGCUCCCGGGGUGACUUUGGGCCCGUCGUGGAAUCUCAGCUCACCCUGCCUCACACAACUGUUGUUCAGAGGAUGAGGCAGGAGGCUCCUACCUGACGCAUGAGGCCAGUGGUCUGGAUGAACACGGGGAAGCCCGCGAGGCCUUUCUUAAC